AGAGUUUGAUCCUGGCUCAGGAUGAACGCUUGCGACAGGCUUAACACAUGCAAGUCGAGGGGCAGCGGGGGAGUAGCAAUACUCCCGCCGGCGACCGGCGCACGGGUGAGUAACACGUAUGAAACCUGCCCGUAGCAGGGGGGGAUAAGCGGAAGAAAUUCCGUCUAAUACCGCGUAACAACCCUUGGAGGCAUCUCCUCGGGUUUAAAGGAAGCGAUUCCGGCUACGGAUGGUCAUGCGUCGCAUUAGCUGGUUGGCGGGGUAACGGCCCACCAAGGCGACGAUGCGUAGGGGUUCUGAGAGGAAGGUCCCCCACACUGGUACUGAGACACGGACCAGACUCCUACGGGAGGCAGCAGUGAGGAAUAUUGGUCAAUGGCCGCAGGGCUGAACCAGCCAAGUCGCGUGAGGGAUGACGGUCCUAUGGAUUGUAAACCUCUUUUGUCAGGGAGCAAAGGGCGCCACGUGUGGCGCUUUGCGAGUACCUGAAGAAAAAGCAUCGGCUAACUCCGUGCCAGCAGCCGCGGUAAUACGGAGGAUGCGAGCGUUAUCCGGAUUUAUUGGGUUUAAAGGGUGCGCAGGCGGAAUGUCAAGUCAGCGGUAAAAUUUCGGGGCUCAACCCCGUCGUGCCGUUGAAACUGGCGUUCUUGAGUGAGCGAGAAGUAUGCGGAAUGCGUGGUGUAGCGGUGAAAUGCAUAGAUAUCACGCAGAACUCCGAUUGCGAAGGCAGCAUACCGGCGCUCAACUGACGCUCAUGCACGAAAGCGUGGGUAUCGAACAGGAUUAGAUACCCUGGUAGUCCACGCAGUAAACGAUGAAU
rnacentral:rRNA from 1 species